rnacentral:lncRNA from 1 species
CGGGCCUCGUGGCGGGCGUCGUGGUGAUCGUCGCCAUGGCGAAUGUAGAGCAACAGCGGCGGCGGCGGCGGCGCUGUACGCGAUGCCCGCGGCGACGAGGGCGACGAUGGCAUGUCGACGGGGACAGCACCGGCGCACGGGUGGACAGAGAGACUCUUCUUUUUUUCUCUCUCUUCUUCUCGCGUGCCAGAGUAGGCGUCGCGCGGCUGUAGAGGAGGGCGCCCUUUUUCCUUGACGCCGCGGACCUUGUGGCGGUGUGCCGACGACGUCAACCUCGCGGCGCGCUCGCCCACGCUGACCCAUGAAAACGGCACGCAGCGGAGCGCGACAGACGCCAGAGACGACGACAAGAGAGAAAGGACCCCGAAGCGCGCCCGCGCCGGAACAAAAAAAAAGAAGAGACCGCGCGACCGGCAGCGCCAAAGAGAGGCGCGCAGCACCAACAAAAAAAAAGGCUAAAGAGGGGCCGUCCACGGACCCAAGAGACAAAAGGAAGCGGGGAAAAGGGCACACGGCUGCGCAAGCAGAGAUCCCUUUGGCGGCGACAGUGGGCCGGCGCCGUUGGCUCCCCGCCCACCGGCGGGCGCAGAUGGCGCAAAGGAAAAAAGGGGUGGCGACGGCCGCCCGCGUCUGUUGCCUCCCCAAGGCGUACGGAAAAAAAAAAGAAAAAGGAGGCUAGAAAAAAGAGACCCCCACAGCAAGUUUGUGGUGCCUUUCGAGGCGGCCUUGAGCGGCGCUCGCUUGGUAUCCUUUUUUUUUUUCAA